rnacentral:siRNA from 1 species
UUGGUAUAGAACUUUUCGUGCCA